CUGGGUGCUGGCGAAGCGGAGGCCGGAGUUAAUACACGAGGAACUCAUGCAAAGGAGGGGACUUUCGGAAAUCCAAACUUAGAGUGCCUUGUAUUUAGAAUCCGGAAGGAAAAGGAAAUGAAAUGUGAAGAAACUCAUGCACCAAACUCGAACUGGUAAGAAGACUGUUAGAAUGCCCUCGGUAACACAGAGGCUGAGAGAUCCUGACAUAAAUCCUUGUUUGUCGAUCCUGUUCUACCUUUUAAAUGAUGCCUCUCUUAUAUCUGUAAGGAAUCUGAUGCUUCCACCAGAUGUCUGGAUGAAAAUAACUAUGACAGGGAAAGGUGUUCCACUUACUUCUUGAGAAUUCUAUCGUGAUGCAGAGAAGAAAGAACGGAGUGAAGCCAUUUAUGCCUACGGCAGCAGAAAGAGAUGAAAUCUUGAGAGCAGUGGGAAAUAUGCCCUAUUGAAUGUUUGCAUUAAAAGUGUUUAUAUAACUUAGAAGCAGAUGAAUAUUUCUAAUAAAUGAUUGCUGUAAUAUUUAAGACUGUACACCCCUCACCCAGACAGACCUUAAGUUCUUCAAGUGGAGACAGUGAAGUCACCCCGUGUCCUUUUUGCUUGCUCUCAGUGCCAUGCCGAUGGUAUGUUGCUGUUGGCUGUGUUGUGGCAUGAGUUUGCAUGACUUUCUGGAGGCAUGGAGUUAGGUAAGGCUACAUGAGAA
rnacentral:lncRNA from 10 species